rnacentral:rRNA from 1 species
UACGGGGGGGGCAAGCGUUGUUCGGAAUUACUGGGCGUAAAGGGCUCGUAGGCGGCCAACUAAGUCAGACGUGAAAUCCCUCGGCUUAACCGGGGAACUGCAUCUGAUACUGGAUGGCUUGAGUUCGGGAGAGGGAUGCAGAAUUCCAGGUGUAGCGGUGAAAUGCGUAGAUAUCUGGAGGAAUACCGGUGGCGAAGGCGGCAGUCCUGGACCGACAUUGACGCUGAGG